GGAGAGAUGGCUUAGUGGUUAAGAGCACUGACUGCUCUUCCAGAGUUCCUGAGUUCAAUUCCCAGCAACCACA
rnacentral:tRNA from 1 species